GACGAACGCUGGCGGCGUGCUUAACACAUGCAAGUCGAACGGAAAGGCCCUGCUUUUGUGGGGUGCUCGAGUGGCGAACGGGUGAGUAACACGUGAGUAACCUGCCCUUGACUUUGGGAUAACUUCAGGAAACUGGGGCUAAUACCGGAUAGGAGCUCCUGCUGCAUGGUGGGGGUUGGAAAGUUUCGGCGGUUGGGGAUGGACUCGCGGCUUAUCAGCUUGUUGGUGGGGUAGUGGCUUACCAAGGCUUUGACGGGUAGCCGGCCUGAGAGGGUGACCGGCCACAUUGGGACUGAGAGACGGCCCAGACUCCUACGGGAGGCAGCAGUGGGGAAUAUUGCACAAUGGGCGGAAGCCUGAGGCAGCAACGCCGCGUGCGGGAUGACGGCCUUCGGGUUGUAAACCGCUUUCGCCUGGGACGAAGCGUGAGUGACGGUAAUGGGUAAAGAAGCACCGGCUAACUACGUG
rnacentral:rRNA from 1 species